rnacentral:rRNA from 1 species
UACGUAGGGUGCAAGCGUUAAUCGGAAUUACUGGGCGUAAAGCGUGCGCAGGCGGUUGUGCAAGACAGAUGUGAAAUCCCCGGGCUCAACCUGGGAAUUGCAUUUGUGACUGCACGGCUAGAGUGUGGCAGAGGGGGGUAGAAUUCCACGUGUAGCAGUGAAAUGCGUAGAGAUGUGGAGGAACACCGAUGGCGAAGGCAGCCCCCUGGGUCAAGAUUGACGCUCAUGCACGAAAGCGUGGGGAGCAAACAGG